GUAUCAUGGCUCAGGAUGAACGCUGGCGGCGUGCUUAACACAUUCAAGUCGAACGGAGUUCAAUUGGGAGCUUGCUCCGGCUGAACUUAGUGGCGGACGGGUGAGUAAUGCAUGAGCAACCUGCCUUCAGGAGGGGGAUAACAUCGGGAAACCGGUGCUAAUACCGCAUAGAGCAUUUUGCAGGCACCUGCGAGAUGGGAAAGGAGCAAUCCGCCUGGAGAUGGG
rnacentral:rRNA from 1 species